AAACAUAAUUACAAACUUUCAAGAGUUGUACAAGGCAACUCUCAUUUCUUCAUACAACAAUUGUAAAUGAAGAAUCAUGGCACAUUAACGUGUCCAUGCCUUUGUGCUUUCUUCUCAAGUUCCUUGUUCAUUUAACAAAGAAACAAGCACUAGUGUUUGCAUUGACUAAGGGUUGUUCAAAGCAACUCUUAUUUCUUCAUACAACGAUUUGUAAGUAAAGAACUAAUAACACUAAAAGUGUCCUUGUCAUUUAUGCUAAUCUUCGUAAGUUCCUUUGUUCAUUUAACAAAGGAUUAAGCAUUGGUUGUUUGUGUUGUCCUCUUCAUGAUAGACUUUUCUAACAUGUUCUUCUAAUGAUACAUUAUCAAUAGGAAGAUUGUGAGGAUGAGACUACUUAGGUACAUAUACAAUCCAU
rnacentral:lncRNA from 1 species